AGUGAACGCUGGCGGUAGGCCUAACACAUGCAAGUCGAACGGCAGCACAGUAAGAGCUUGCUCUUACGGGUGGCGAGUGGCGGACGGGUGAGGAAUACAUCGGAAUCUACUUUUUCGUGGGGGAUAACGUAGGGAAACUUACGCUAAUACCGCAUACGACCUACGGGUGAAAGCAGGGGAUCUUCGGACCUUGCGCGAUUGAAUGAGCCGAUGUCGGAUUAGCUAGUUGGCGGGGUAAAGGCCCACCAAGGCGACGAUCCGUAGCUUGUCUGAGAGGAUGAGCCGCCACACGGGACCAGGGCCAACGCCUGGACUCCGAGCGGAGGCAGCAGUAGGGAAUGGGCGACGAUGGGCGUAUGCCUGACGCAGCAGUGCGGCGGGAGGGAUGAAGGGCGUCUGAUUUUAAAGCUGUUUUAGUAGUGAAGAAAAAAUGCGGAACGACUCAUGCCCGGCUUGACGGCACAAAAAAAGAAAGCCACGGCUAACUCCGUG
rnacentral:rRNA from 1 species